GACAGUAUUUAUUAGAUAUCAAAUCAAUAUUCCUCUGGUCUAUUUGAUGAUUCAUAAUAACUUAGCGAAUCGCUGGGGUGUACCCGCGAUAAAUCAUUCAAGUUUCUGCCCCAUCAGCUUGAUGGUAGUGUAUUGGACUACCAUGGCUUUCACGGGUAACGGGGAUCAGGGUUCGAUACCGGAGAGGGAGCCUGAGAAACGGCUACCGCUUCUACGGAAGGCAGCAGGCGCGUAAAUUACCCAAUCCUAAUUCAGGGAGGUAGUGACAAGAAAUAACAGACCGGGUUUUUCCCGGGUUUGCGAUGACGUUAAUUUAGCAUCUUUCUUAGGAUCCAUUGGAGGGCAAGUCUGGUGCCAGCAGCCGCGGUAAUUCCAGCUCCAAUAGCGUAUAUUAAAGUUGCUGCAGUUAAAAGCUCGUAGUUGAAUUUCUGAAGGUGUCUCUGGCUUGCUCCGUGUGGGCAAUCACCGUUGACAUCUUCAUCCAUCUGUCAACUAUUCUUGGUCUUCACUGACUGGAUUAGAGCUCAGAUACUUUACCUUGAGGAAAUUAGAGUGUUUAAAGCAAGCUAGUGCUGG
rnacentral:rRNA from 1 species